rnacentral:rRNA from 1 species
CCUACGGGAGGCAGCAGUGGGGAAUUUUGGACAAUGGGCGCAAGCCUGAUCCAGCAAUGCCGCGUGCAGGAUGAAGGCCUUCGGGUUGUAAACUGCUUUUGUACGGAACGAAAAAGUCUGCCCUAAUACGGUGGGCCCAUGACGGUACCGUAAGAAUAAGCACCGGCUAACUACGUGCCAGCAGCCGCGGUAAUACGUAGGGUGCGAGCGUUAAUCGGAAUUACUGGGCGUAAAGCGUGCGCAGGCGGUUAUAUAAGACAGAUGUGAAAUCCCCGGGCUCAACCUGGGACCUGCAUUUGUGACUGUAUAGCUAGAGUACGGUAGAGGGGGAUGGAAUUCCGCGUGUAGCAGUGAAAUGCGUAGAUAUGCGGAGGAACACCGAUGGCGAAGGCAAUCCCCUGGACCUGUACUGACGCUCAUGCACGAAAGCGUGGGGAGCAAACAGGAUUAGAUACCCUGGUAGUCCACGCCCUAAACGAUGUCAACUGGUUGUUGGGUCUUCACUGACUCAGUAACGAAGCUAACGCGUGAAGUUGACCGCCUGGGGAGUACGGGCCGCAAGGUUGAAACUCAAAUGAAAUUGACGG